rnacentral:rRNA from 1 species
UACAGAGGGUGCAAGCGUUAAUCGGAAUUACUGGGCGUAAAGGGCGCGUAGGCGGCCUGCUAAGUCGAACGUGAAAUCCCCGAGCUCAACUCGGGAACUGCGUCCGAUACUGGCAGGCUUGAAUCCGGGAGAGGGAUGCGGAAUUCCAGGUGUAGCGGUGAAAUGCGUAGAUAUCUGGAGGAACACCGGUGGCGAAGGCGGCAUCCUGGACCGGCAUUGACGCUGAGGCGCGAAAGCCAGGGGAGCAAACGGG